rnacentral:rRNA from 1 species
UACAGAGGGGGCAAGCGUUGUUCGGAAUUACUGGGCGUAAAGCGUGCGCAGGCGGCUUUGCAAGACAGAUGUGAAAUCCCCGGGCUUAACCUGGGAACUGCAUUUGUGACUGCAUGGCUGGAGUGCGGCAGAGGGGGAUGGAAUUCCGCGUGUAGCAGUGAAAUGCGUAGAGAUGUGGAGGAACACCGAUGGCGAAGGCAGCCCCCUGGGCUAACACUGACGCUCAUGCACGAAAGCGUGGGGAGCAAACAGG